UACGAAGGGGGCUAGCGUUGCUCGGAAUCCCUGGGCGUAAAGCGCACGUAGGCGGCUUUCUAAGUCAGGGGUGAAAUCCCGGGGCUCAACCCCGGAACUGCCUUUGAUACUGGAAGUCUUGAGUGUGGUAGAGGUGAGUGGAAUUGCGAGUGUAGAGGUGAAAUUCGUAGAUAUUCGCAGGAACACCAGUGGCGAAGGCGGCUCACUGGACCAAAACUGACGCUGAGGUGCGAAAGCGUGGGGAGCAAACAGG
rnacentral:rRNA from 1 species